rnacentral:lncRNA from 1 species
CUGUCCUUGUUCAGGGUUCCACUCUGAAUGUUGACUAGAGAUUGUUCUCAUGAAUGCACAUGUACUUUGUCUAAUACAUAGUACAUCAUACAUAUUACAUCACUGUAAUAUAGACGCAGACAGCUAGUGAGAAGUAGGAGUGAUGUUUGGGGCAAAACCAUCAGAGAAAUAAAAAGAGGACAUUACUGAAUUGUGUGAACCAUCAAUCUGAAACACUGUUACUGAGGAAUGUCUGUUUAGUACGGAGAUACCAUUUACUUUUUAUGUAUCUCAGUAGUUAAAAAGGUGCAUUUCAUCAUAGUAUCCCAGUUUGGAGUCCUAGCUACAGUAUCCUUUGCUUUCUGCUCUCUGUAGAAAAUAUUAUUUUCUUGAUGGAAAUUAUUACAUUACCUUUCAUGUCAUUUCUAGAGACUUUAAUGCUGCUUCAGUCUUAUUAUGAAACCAAUUUGUGAUAUACAACCUCACUCAUUUACUGGUGUGACACUGCUAUUAGCUUCAUGGGAUCCAGAAUUUCAAAUGGUUUGUCUUGCAUGUCUCUGGUUUCUUCAGCGGCCUUUAGAAAAGCAGGUGGUAGGAGAUUGUCUGGUUCUAGUUUCAUGGAUUUUUCUACAGCUUUUUAAGCCCAAAGCCUUCUAGGGGAUAUUUUUUUAUCUUUCAAAUCCUGUUCCUCUGUGUAAGUAUUUGUGAGCAGGCAGCCCUAAUAAAGAUUGUGUCAGGAUUCUGAGAGUAUGGUGGAAUAGAUUAUACAAAAUGUCUGAAAAAAAUUGCAAGUGCUACACUUGUCUGGUCCUGUGCAAGGAAGGAAAUUCAUGGAGUGAAAGAAAGCAAGCAAAUUAAAGCUAGUCAAGUGCAUUGGUUGUAUCUUCUGGCUCUCCCCAAAUGAUCAUACUCUCAAUGUAGAUCUUUUCGCUGCAGCACGUAGAGCAGCCCUGUAAUAGACGGUCACUGUUCUUUUUUAGAAUCCCUUAUGUCCUUUAGAUUUCUUUUCCCCAUUUGCUUACUGCAUUUUUUGAAAGGUUGUGUUUUAUUUAAAUAGCUUCUUUCUUCAAAUCAUUUAAAGAAAAAUAAAUGCGUUAGGUUAAUAAAGUUUUCUUCAUUUUAGAAUGCGCUGCCUAACUCUCUUCAAUAAACUUCCUUCUCCAAUGAAAAGUUCUUACAUUUCUGUAUUAACCAGAAUAGAAAUAAGAAUGGAUGACAUGUAAAAAAAGAAAUAAAACUUUUAUCCAAAAUCA